rnacentral:rRNA from 1 species
AUUUUCUGCCACCGAAUACAUUAGCAUGGGAUAAUGGAAUAGGACCCUGUCCUCCUAUUUUCAGUUGGUUUUGGCAGCGCGAGGACUAGGGUAAUGAUUAAUAGGGAUAGUUGGGGGCAUUAAUAUUUAAUUGUCAGAGGUGAAAUUCUUGGAUUUAUGAAAGAUUAACUUCUGCGAAAGCAUCUGCCAAGGAUGUUUUCAUUAAUCAAGAACGAAAGUUAGGGGAUCGAAGACGAUCAGAUACCGUCGUAGUCUUAACCAUAAACGAUGCCGACCAGCGAUUAGGAGACGUUGAAUACAAAACACCACCAUCGGCGCGGUCGUCCUUGGCGUUCGUGUUCACGCACGAGCGCGAGGGCGGUUUAGCCCGGUGGCACCGGUGAAUGACUCCCCUAGCAGCUUGUGAGAA